rnacentral:miRNA from 1 species
AUUGUACUCUCCAAGGUUUUCUG